UCUGAUUAAGGAGUCCGGAUAGCAUCCUCGGGUUUGACCAUAUAAUUUCUGCCCACGCCCUUACAGAAUUAGCUUUUGUAUUCAUUUAGCCCAAGUACAAUAAGUUGCUGAAUCAGGCUAACGUAGUAGGAAGAGUAAUCUGGCAGUAUGUUAUACUUGUCACUGAUAAAUGAGUUGAAAGUGAUGCCCGACCAUAAAUGUGUAUGUUUGUAGUGCUGCUCUCAAGGAAUUACAUACAUGUAUACAUUUUAUGAAAU